rnacentral:lncRNA from 1 species
CGCCUCUAAAAUUACUGCUGGCACUAGCACCAGUGAAUGUAGAUCAUAGUAUAUUUCUAUGAAUAGAACUUGGAGGAGUUGUGGAAGAUUUGCAGAUUGUGUAAUUUUGUUGCUGGAGCUGAUGACUGGCAGCCAACUGCGACUCUGGUGGGUGAGGAGCAAGCAGGAUGAUGUCCAAGCCAUCCAAGGGAAAUCUUGGAAAUUGCAAGGUACUUCAAUCCUUGGAAGGUUUUUCUUUUAUCUCUGCAAACUGCCUAUCUGGAAAUUAAUUACAAGGUAAUACACUGGUAAUCAGCCAUUCAUAGAUAGAAUGUAGGUGCACAGUUUAAUAGCAUUAUGCUUAUAGUUUAUAGAAGAAGAAAACAAUUGCUGAAUGGACA